CAUAGAGCUUCCCAGCCCCAGGAGAGGGGCCUGCGCUGGGGCCGGGGACACAGCAUCAUAGAGCUUCCCAGCCCCAGGAGAGGGGCCUGCGCUGGGGCCAGGGACACAGCAUCAUAGAGCUUCCCAGCCCCAGGAGAGGGGCCUGCGCUGGGGCUGGGACACAGCAUCAUAGAGCUUCCCAGCCCCAGGAGAGGGGCUUGUGCCGGGGCUGGGACACAGCAUCAUAGAGCUUCCCCCCCAGGAGAGGGGCCUGCGCUGGGGCCGGGGAGUGAAGGGGUCCGCUCUCCCAAGAGGCAGCCAGAGCCAGCCACCCCCAGCCCGCUUCAGACACCAGAACCUUCGUAUUAUACGUGCUUUUCCUCCGGCUGGAACACCAUCCCCCUUGCACAUCACGGACAACCUGCUCCUCCAUGAAGACUGUUCAGAGCCCCCAACAUCCUCAGACAAGACUUCCCCUACGCUGGACGGAUGCAUAACAGGCCAUGAAACACCCAGCUUGCGUGUCUCUUCCGAGAAAGCUGCAACGCACGUUUAGGAAAAUGAGGCCCAAAGAAGCGAAUGGCCUGUCACACCGGGACCCAGGACAUGGCUGGAAUGGGGACCCAGGCCAGUGUCCCAGCUGCUCCACCGGCCUCCCUCGCCCCACCGGCAGGAUGCAGACAUCACGGUCCCCAGCCCUCAGGGAACCGCUCCAAGAUGCCAGAGCUCUGCCCUGGCUCCAGGAGGGCUCUUCCCAAAUGAGGUGUCCAGAGAGUGGCUCGGGGAGCAGAAGACACACCUGACCUGCUCCAGUGACAAGGAGCUGCCUGCCCUGGGCAACUGGGUGGAGAGGCACAUCCACCCACUGCAGGAACCUCAUCGGCCAAGCUCUCCCCCGGGGUCCAGCAAUGAGGGGAUGGACGGGGGCCUGCAGAGGUGGGCAGGACCACAUCCUGGGUGAGGGCAUGGGGCAGAGUGAGGUCAGGCGCCUCUGGGGAGCCACUACACCCCAAGCUCUAGGCCCACUGCCUGCCCCCGCCCCCAAGAGACCAAGACCCCCUCAAGCAUCUGUGGUUAUUGCCCCGUCGGUGACAACCAGGUCUGAUGUUCAAGGGCUUUCUUGCCAGUUAUUCCGUAAUUACUCCCUAAUUACCACCUCGGUCUGUUCUCAGCUACUGGGGCACGACAGUGAAGCGUGCCGCACGGCAGUUCACAAUCCACUCAUGGAUUCAGAGAGGCAGACACAGGCCAAGGCGGGGAGAGCUGAGGGCCUGGAGGGUGAGCCAGAAAUGCACCAAGGUGAUUCAGGCCUCAGGGGCCCACGCAUCUCUGCAUCAGGCAGAGGGACAGCCUGAGACAUCACCACAGGCCAGGGGAAGGAACAGACCAAAUGCAGACACAGCCAGGCCCAGGACAAGCCAGCACUGGGGCCACCACCGUCGGUCAUCCUUCCUCGGGGUCCACCCUGGCCUUGGGCUCCUUCCUCCACGCCACUGGCCCCUCCUCACAAAGGAAGGGCCUGGAGAGCCCGGCUCCUAGAGGGGACUGGAGUCAAGGAACAUCACACAGGGCAGGGGCCAGGUACCCAGCUCCUGGAGCAGGAAGGUUGGCCUGGGACCUCCUUCCACUGACCGGGGCCGCACAUCCUGACAGCUGACCUCCAACUCAGGAUCACGGGGAAAAAUAAAAACAAUGUGGUAACAAC